rnacentral:rRNA from 1 species
UUUGUAAACUUGAACUCUAAUUGAUGUUAGUUAGGGGUUUUAUUUUUUGUCUUGUUUUUUAGGGUGAAAUCAGAAAUUUUUGUUAUUAGUGCCCCUAAUCUUUAAGAUUUGAUGAAUAAGUCAGAUUAGUACCUGAUUAAACAAAAAUUAAAAGAGCAGGAGUAAAGUUAUGUUUAAACUGUAAGAGUAUUGGCAGGUUCUUAAAUUAUCUUUGGAGGUUGAGUAGUAAUUGAGAGCCCUCAUUAACAACUUUUACUGUGGGCGCAUGUAUGAUCGUUUAUUUUAUUCUUGAGGAUUGUAAUUUUAGAUGAGCUUGUCUCUGUUAAAAUAGAUAAAUAUUUGGUUUAUGUAGAAGAUUUAAUUUGACCUACAAUAUACUAUUUUGUGGAUACUUUACUAGUAAGAAGUUGAAAAUGUAAAAGACAGUAAGUUCUUUUUUAUGUAGAUCUGAAGUUUAUUUAAGAACGGUACAAAUCAUCCAUCAAUUGCCUAUA